rnacentral:rRNA from 1 species
UACGUAGGAUGCAAGCGUUGUCCGGAAUUAUUGGGCGUAAAGAGUUCGUAGGCGGUUUCCUAAGUCUGGUGUUAAAUACAGGAGCUCAACUCCUGCAUGGCACUGGAAACUGGGCAGCUAGAGUGUGGUAGAGGUCACGGGAAUUCCAGGUGUAGCGGUGAAAUGCGUAGAUAUCUGGAGGAACACCAGUGGCGAAAGCGCGUGACUGGGCCACAACUGACGCUGAGGAACGAAAGCCAGGGGAGCGAAAGGG